UAGGGAAUUUUCGGCAAUGGGCGAAAGCCUGACCGAGCAAUGCCGCGUGAACGAAGAAGGUCUUCGGACUGUAAAGUUCUGUUAUAGAGGAAGAAAGAUAUAUAGAGGAAAUGCUAUAUAUUUGACGGUACUUUAUGAGGAAGCCCCGGCUAACUAUGUGCCAGCAGCCGCGGUAAUACAUAGGGGGCAAGCGUUAUCCGGAAUUAUUGGGCGUAAAGGGUGCGUAGGCGGCUGAUUAAGUCUGGUGUGAAAUUUCACGGCUUAACCGUGAAGGGUCAUUGGAAACUGAUUGGCUUGAAUACAGAAGAGGUAAGUGGAAUUCCAUGUGUAGCGGUAAAAUGCUUAGAUAUAUGGAGGAACACCAGUGGCGAAGGCGGCUUACUGGUCUGUCAUUGACGCUGAUGCACGAAAGCGUGGGUAGCAAACAGG
rnacentral:rRNA from 1 species